AUGUUGGCUGCUGGAAUGGCUUUGGGGCAACUGUCCAAGUCUGCCGGAUACUGUGAAAUGCACGCAAUAGCAGUGAACGCCAACGUGCCGUGUGAGAGGCUGAAAUCCGCCACGCAGCUGAGUGGAACAGGCACGUACCCCCUUGGCGCCAGUGCUAUCAACCGGCUGACCGACCCACAGGGCACCCAGGCAGCAUGUGGAAGGUGUGCUUGUUGACGAAACCAACCAUUGUACAUGCGGCUGCGGACAAACACUGCCGUGGCAGAAAUGGACUUCAGACCAGUCCUCUGGAAACUGGAAAGACUGGAAUCUAAGGAAAUGUUAUGAACAUUACAGUCAUGCCCAUGUGGCACAUUUUUAAGUCAGAUGCAGAUUAUGCAUGUUUAACUGUUGUGUUUUGGCUUAGGUGAAGGACAUACUGCAUACUUUCAGACUGAGUUUUUCAUUAAAUCCCAGGGUGAGCUGCAUCUUGCAUGACAAAUGCCUAGCAGAGUUGUCACAGCGAAAAAAGGUCUCCACGGUUCUCUGUGUAUUUGCUGGACAGACUGUUGACUUAGGAACCAAGGUGGCACAGCAGGUAGUGCUGGUGCCUCACAGCUUCCGGCCUCUGUGUGAAGUUUGUACAUUCUCCUCAUGUUUGAGUGAAUUUCUUCCGGGUGUUCUGAUUUCCUCUCGCAGUUGCUGCUGUUUCAGCUGACCUGUGAACCAAAGUUGCCUGCAUUGUGUGUGUAUAUCUCUCACUUGGACUGGUGUCCUGUCCAGAGUGUACCCUACUUAGCCUUGCACCCUCAAUUUCUGGAAUACGCUCCACACCGCUGUGACCUUGACUUGGAUAAGCGGUUAAGGAAAGUCAGUGAGUGUUGUUCCAAUGCAUGAGAGAUUUUACAGAAUUUACCAUGGUAUAUCUGGCACUGAAAGUCGUCUUGCACAAAGGUGUCAAUGUGUCACAAUGGCGUUACCAGUAACUGUCAUUAGAGGAAAGUAUGUGCUAAAUGAAUACAUCUAAACACUUUGAUGGUCCUGUGCUCCGAUUUGCAGGUUGUAAAUGAUGUUACUCUUGCUUUUCAUAAAGAGUUGAUCCCUGUGCAGAAAACAAUGUGACCUUUAAGGUCAAGCAAAACAACGUGUUUAUCAGUUCCCCCGGACAUGGCUGCAUUCCAGGAGAAACUGCCUGCUCUUCUUUCUUCCUGUUUCUGGAAGGCUCUCCCUAAACAUUUCUGAGCUCCUACACUGGUUCCAGUGCCUGUCCUUAAAACACAUUGACAUUAGUUGGCUAUCAAGUAGAGGCGUCAUGUUAUCAUUACCUUUACACCUCACCGGAGAAGCCUGUAGAUUCUAUCCAGUAGGUGGAGUAGUGGUUAGAACUGCUGUAUUUGGAUCUGAAGGUUGCAGGUUUAAAUCCAACCGCCAGUUGUAGUAUGACUGAGCAAGGUACUUACCCUGAACUACUACUCUUAAAAUUUCCCAGCCCUUUAAGUGGUAAGUAAUUGUAAGUCAGUGAACCUUAGUUGAUGAAUAAAGAUCUAAUACAUGUUGUAUAGUAGUAUAAA
ensembl:lncRNA